rnacentral:rRNA from 1 species
GACAAUCCAACGGGGCUCAAGCUUGCGACCGAAGCUUUGAAAUCCGUUUCUCUUAGGAGAAAUGGUUUGGUAGGGGAGCAUUCUGUAGUGUCCGAAGGCAGACCGAGAGGACUGCUGAACGCUACGGAAGAGACUCUGCCGGCAUAAGUAGCGAUAAACACGAUGAGAACUCGUGUCGCCGAAAGUCUAAGGUUUCCUGAGGAAGGUUAAUCCGCUCAGGGUUAGGCGGGUCCUAAGGUGAGGCCGAGAGGCGUAGCUGAUGGACAGCAGGUCAACAUUCCUGCCCCGCCAUACGAACGUUUGACGAUGGGGUGACGCAGAAGGAUAGGGGAGUCGGGUGAUGGACGUCCCGAUGUCUUGGUGUAAGCCGGAUCCCGCAGGAAAAUCCACGGGGUCAUUCAACGGUCAGACCAGGUCCGAGGCCACACGGCCACAAAGUCUCUGAUUUCACGCUGCCAGGAAAAACCUCUAAGGAGUUCGGAUGGUGCCCGUACCUCAAACCGACACAGGUAGACAAGGUGAAUAUCCACAGGCGCUCGAGAGAACGCUCGCUCAGGAACUAGGCACAUUAGCCCCGUAACUUCGGGAGAAGGGGUGCCCCGCUAGGGUUUAUAGCCCGAGGGGGCCGCAGUGAAAUGCGUUCGGCGACUGUUUAACAAAAACACAGCUCUCUGCUAAGUCGAAUACGACGUAUAGGGGGUGACGCCUGCCCGGUGCCGGAAGGUUAAAGGGAGGGCUUAGCUGCCGCAAGGCAGCGAAGGCUUGAUCUGAAGCCCCGGUGAACGGCGGCCGUAACUAUAACGGUCCUAAGGUAGCGAAAUUCCUUGUCGGGUAAGUUCCGACCUGCACGAAUGGCGUAACGACUUCCCCACUGUCUCCAGCAUCGGCUCAGCGAAAUUGAAUUCCCCGUGAAGAUGCGGGGUUCCCGCGGUCAGACGGAAAGACCCCGUGCACCUUAACUGCACUCUGGUCAUGAUUAACGGUACUGCCUGCGUAGGAUAGGUGGGAGCCUGGGAACCCUCGGUCUCGGCUGAGGGGGAGGCAACGGUGAAAUACCACCCUGAUAGUUCUGUCGCUCUAACUUACGGCCCUAGACGGGUCGAAGGACACGGCCAGACGGGUAGUUUGACUGGGGCGGUCGCCUCCCAAAGUGUAACGGAGGCGCGCGAUGGUGGGCUCAGAGCGGUCGGAAAUCGCUCGACGAGUGCAAUGGCAUAAGCCCGCCUGACUGCGAGACUGACAAGUCGAGCAGAGACGAAAGUCGGNNCUGGGGCGGUCGCCUCCUAAAUGGUAACGGAGGCGCUCAAAGCUCGGCUCAGGCGGAUUGGAAACCCGCCGUGGAGUGCAAGAGCAUAAGCCGGGUUGACUGCGAGACACACAGGUCGAGCAGGCACGAAAGUGGGAUCUAGUGAUCCGGUGGUUCUGCGUGGAAGGGCCAUCGCUCAACGGAUAAAAGGUACGCCGGGGAUAACAGGCUGAUCUAAGCCAAGAGUUCACAUCGACGCUUAGGUUUGGCACCUCGAUGUCGGCUCAUCGCAUCCUGGGGCUGUAGAAGGUCCCAAGGGUUAGGCUGUUCGCCUAUUAAAGCGGUACGUGAGCUGGGUUCAGAACGUCGCGAGACAGUUCGGUCCCUAUCUGGUGUGGGCGCAGGAAACUUGAGAGGAGCUGUCCCUAGUACGAGAGGACCGGGAUGGACGGACCUCUUGUGAUCGAGUUGUCACGCCAGUGGCAUCGCUCGGUAGCGAAGUCCGGAAGAGAUAAUCGCUGAAAGCAUCUAAGCGAGAAGCUCGCCUCGAGAUAAGGUUUCCCAACCCUCCUGCGGGGGGGUAAGAAGGCCAGUCGAAGACUACGACUUUGAUAGGCGGGAGGUGGAAGCGCAGUAAUGCGUGUAGCUAACCCGUACUAAUCGGCCGUUCGGCUUAACCAU